UCACUCUGGUUUCUCUUCAUAACACACAAGUCUUUCGCCUUUAACUAAAGACUUCCUUGGAGGGGAACGUCGAUGAGUUGAAACUAUUUUGGUGGGCUUUGCUGUUUGGCCGAGC